rnacentral:rRNA from 1 species
AACGAACGCUGGCGGCAUGCCUAACACAUGCAAGUCGAACGAGACCUUCGGGUCUAGUGGCGCACGGGUGCGUAACGCGUGGGAACCUGCCUUUAGGUUCGGAAUAACUCCCCGAAAGGGGUGCUAAUACCGGAUGAUGUCUUCGGACCAAAGAUUUAUCGCCUUUAGAUGGGCCCGCGUAAGAUUAGGUAGUUGGUGGGGUAAAGGCCUACCAAGCCGACGAUCUUUAGCUGGUCUGAGAGGAUGAUCAGCCACACUGGGACUGAGACACGGCCCAGACUCCUACGGGAGGCAGCAGUGGGGAAUAUUGGACAAUGGGCGAAAGCCUGAUCCAGCAAUGCCGCGUGAGUGAUGAAGGCCUUAGGGUUGUAAAGCUCUUUUACCAGGGAUGAUAAUGACAGUACCUGGAGAAUAAGCUCCGGCUAACUCCGUGCCAGCAGCCGCGGUAAUACGGAGGGAGCUAGCGUUGUUCGGAAUUACUGGGCGUAAAGCGCACGUAGGCGGCGAUU